CUUAUUGGCAGUACCGAUGAGUA
rnacentral:siRNA from 1 species